rnacentral:rRNA from 1 species
CCUACGGGAGGCAGCAGUGGGGAAUAUUGGACAAUGGGCGCAAGCCUGAUCCAGCCAUACCGCGUGUGUGAAGAAGGCCUUUUGGUUGUAAAGCACUUUAAGCGAGGAGGAGGCUCUUGAGGAUAAUACCCUUGAUGAGUGGACGUUACUCGCAGAAUAAGCACCGGCUAACUCUGUGCCAGCAGCCGCGGUAAUACAGAGGGUGCGAGCGUUAAUCGGAAUUACUGGGCGUAAAGCGCGCGUAGGCGGCUUGUUAAGUCGGAUGUGAAAUCCCCGGGCUCAACCUGGGCACUGCAUUCGAUACUGGCAAGCUAGAGUAUGGGAGAGGAAGGUAGAAUUCCAGGUGUAGCGGUGAAAUGCGUAGAGAUCUGGAGGAAUACCGAUGGCGAAGGCAGCCUUCUGGCCUAAUACUGACGCUGAGGUGCGAAGACAUGGGAGGACAACAGGAGUAGUAUACCUACGUAGUCAUGCGUAACG